rnacentral:rRNA from 1 species
AACGCGAAGAACCUUACCCAGACUUGACAUACAGAGGGAUACUCUAGAAAUAGGGUAGUCCGCAAGGACUUCUGUACAGGUGCUGCAUGGCUGUCGUCAGCUCGUGCCGUGAGGUGUUGGGUUAAGUCCCGCAACGAGCGCAACCCUUAUCGCUAGUUGCCAACAGGUAAUGCUGGGAACUCUAGCGAGACUGCCCGGGUUAACCGGGAGGAAGGUGAGGAUGACGUCAAGUCCGCAUGGCCCUUACGUCUGGGGCUACACACGUGCUACAAUGGGAAGAUACAAAGGGUAGCGAAACCGCGAGGUGGAGCCAAUCUCUAAAACUUCCCCCAGUUCAGAUUGUAGUCUGCAACUCGACUACAUGAAGCCGGAAUUGCUAGUAAUGGCGUGUCAGCAACAGCGCCGUGAAUACGUUCCCGGGCCUUGUACACACCGAUAGC